ACGCUCUUCCGAUCUCUCAGAUUGAACGCUGGCGGCAGGCCUAAGACAUGCAAGUCGAGCGAGAAAGUACUUCGGUACGAGUACAGCGGCGGACGGGUGAGUAACGCGUAGGAAUCUACCUAGUAGUGGGGGACAACUCGUGGAAACGCGAGCUAAUACCGCAUACGCCCUACGGGGGAAAGCGGGGGAUCUUCGGACCUCGUGCUAUUAGAUGAGCCUGCGUAAGAUUAGCUAGUUGGUGGGGUAAAGGCCUACCAAGGCGACGAUCUUUAGCUGGUCUGAGAGGAUGAUCAGCCACAUUGGGACUGAGACACGGCCCAAACUCCUACGGGAGGCAGCAGUGGGGAAUCUUGCACAAUGGAGGAAACUCUGAUGCAGCGAUGCCGCGUGAGUGAAGAAGGCCUUUGGGUUGUAAAGCUCUUUCGUCGGGGAAGAAAAUGACUGUACCCGAAUAAGAAGGUCCGGCUAACUUCGUGCCAGCAGCCGCGGUAAUACGAAGGGACCUAGCGUAGUUCGGAAUUACUGGGCUUAAAGAGUUCGUAGGUGGUUGAAAAAGUUGGUGGUGAAAUCCCAGAGCUUAACUCUGGAACUGCCAUCAAAACUUUUCAGCUAGAGUAUGAUAGAGGAAAGCAGAAUUUCUAGUGUAGAGGUGAAAUUCGUAGAUAUUAGAAAGAAUACCAAUUGCGAAGGCAGCUUUCUGGAUCAUUACUGACACUGAGGAACGAAAGCAUGGGUAGCGAAGAGGAUUAGAUACCCUCGUAGUCCAUGCCGUAAACGAUGUGUGUUAGACGUUGGAAAUUUAUUUUCAGUGUCGCAGGGAAACCGAUAAACACACCGCCUGGGGAGUACGACCGCAAGGUUAAAACUCAAAUGAAUUGACGGGGACCCGCACAAGUAGUGGAGAGAUCGGAAGAGCGUCGUGUAGGGAAAGAGUGUAGAUCUCGGUGGU
rnacentral:rRNA from 1 species